GAUCUGCAUCUAUGAGCCCAGCCCCUGGCCCUGACCGUGAUGAGGAUGCUCUCGGGAAUGACCGGGGAAUCUGUAAAGUACUCGUGUUCCUAAAAGGACCCACGAAACGGCAGUCUACCUGCUUAAAAUUCUCUGAGCCUCUGGAGAGGAGAAAAGUGGAGGCCAUGAAAGAGCUUGACCCAUGUCUGGAUUUCUCUGCCGACAGCUGUAACGUGGUCAGGAAUACUGUGCAUUUUUCUUUCCUGGCCGAAGGAGAGGGGAAAGGAUGCUAAUUCCCCCACGCCAAACCCAAGACUGGGAGAGGCUCAGUGUUGUCAUGGACCACCUAAGAACCAGAGCUCUAAGAAGUAUGGAUGAGUUACACCCUAGAGCUUGAAGGUGGAAGUCUGGUACCCAGUUUGCAUAACACUGUUGAGAUUAAGAAGAUGACUGCGGUUCCCUGACAUCCUAGGUGGACGUUUGAGCUGGCGUGGAAGCAAGUUGCUUUUCUGUCGACAUCAGUGCAUGGUCAGGGUCUUCACUUUGAUACUUUUUGUAGAGAAACCUUUGCUCCCCCUCCUUUUUUUUUUUUGCCACGCCUGGAGCAUAUAGAAGUUCCAGGGUCAGGGAUGGAAUCCAAGUCACAGCUGCAACCAGGGCCACAGCCAGGGCAACACUGGAUACUUAAAACACCAUGCCAGGCUGGGGAUCAAACUUGAGCCUCCGCAGUGACCUGAGCUACUGCAGUUGGAUCCUCAACCCACUGUACUUCAGUGGGAACUCCUUUUGUUCCUUUUUAUAACAGUGGAAUAUAACACAAAAGAGUUACUUUCAAGUUUCUGCACAAUUGAAAUCUGGAUAAUUUUUAACUUCUAAAUUAAGAUUACUGAGUAAAAUGACUGAUAUUUGAUUUUAAAACAAAACAAAACUUUACCAAACCUUAUUUGAAAUAAUGUUGAUUCCUAAAUAUAAGAAGGAAAUUCACAGUGUUCCCCAGUGCCUAAGUGGGUCAAGGAUCUGUCAUUGUCACUGCCGUGGCCCACGUUCUAUUCCUGGCCUGGGAACUUCCACGUGCCAUGGGUGCUGCCAAAAGGGGGGGGGGGGGGAAUUCCCCGGGAUCAUAUCAUGCUAAGACAGUUUGUACUAAAAAUGGACUUUGUAGGAGUUCCCAUUGUGGCACAGAGGAAACAAAUCCAGCUAGUACCCAUGAGGACAUGGGUUCCACCCCUGGCCUUGCUCAGUGGGUUAAGGCUCUGGUGUUUCCAUGAGCUGCCGUGUAGGUCAGAUCCCACAUUGCUGUGGCUGUGACCUAGGCUGGCAGCUAUAGCACUGAUUCAACCUCUAGCCUGGAAACUUCCAUAUGCUGUGGGUGCGGCCAUACAAAGAAAAUGAAUUAAAAAAAUAAGAGCAGACUUUGUAAAUUUCAGUAUGUGUUUUAUCUUUUUAAAAAAUAACCCAUUGUUCUUUUUUUCUGUUUUUAUGCUUUUCAAAGAUGGCAAAAAUAAGCCAGAUUUUAGAAGAUAAUGUUAGUUGCAAAAUAAAAAAAAAUACUUGAAGUUAGAGAUCAUUUUGUGAUACAUCUCUGUCAUUUACCAUAGAAUCAUGUAGGAAAAUUCAAUGAAAGGUGGUGAUUCAGUGAUUUAUACUCUUUCAUUAGCCUUCAACCUCACAUUGAUGUUACUGUCUUGCCAAGAAGAUUCACAUAAGACACGCACAUGGUUUUAAGUCUCACAUUUUAGUUCUGAGCAAAGUGAUGGAACAUUGUGAAUCCGAUCUUGUCACUGGCAGAAUGGUAAAUAUUAGACAGAAAGUGAAAUUUUUAAUCUGAUUGGUUUUAGAGAUGAUCAUGAUGGGCACUAUAAAAUACUGCUUUCAUUUAUAAAACUGAAUCUCAGACUAUGUGAAAACACUUUUCGCGCCAACCGCACAAAGACUGCAGAGGAGAAAACGCCCGAUGAAGUUCAUUCUGCUUAUCCACACAUUUUUUUUUUUUUUACAAAAUUUCAUUUAUUUUAAAGUGAAGAGGAGAACUGACAUUUGAAGGGUUCCCAAUAGUUUUCAUAAAUGCUUUUUUUCAAGACAUAAUCUUAUAAGCAAGGCUUUUAUUAUCUCCAUUUUCUAGACAAGGAAAUCUAAGUCUCAGGUUAAAUUAUUUGCCCAAAUCAAACUGGUAAUGAGUGAUUUUGUUAAGAUUAAACAAAUUUUUUUCAAGCCCCAAACAGUGUGUAUAGUUUUUCCAUCAUUCUUAUGCUUUCCUGAAAUUAAGGAGUAUAAAUGAGAAUGACGGAAGCAGAAACAAUUGAAGACAUUUAAAUGCAUAGAGGGAUAUACCAGAUUUAUGCGUCCAGCCUUAUUUUAAUAUAAAUUCUCCCCAAAUUUAACUAUAUAUGUGCCACAAACCCAAUCAAAUCCUCAGGAGGAUUUUUAGUAAAUAUUUACAAAUUGAUUCUAAAAAUUCACACGGAAAUGAACAUAAAAUAACAAAAACAGCUGGUACAAGAAGAGCGUUAAUUUCAAAAGACAGCCUAGAACUUUAGUCAUCAAGAGAGCCAAGAGAGAAAAAAGACAUCAAUUUACUGUAUGUUUAAAUUUUUAUUUGUUAUUUUUUUUUUAGCAGCAUGGUAUAUUUAGGCAUAGCAUGUGUGACAUUUUAUACUGUUACAUUCAAAUCUUGGCCUGGUUGUUUAAGACCUGUAUCACAUGUUUCUUCAUAUGAAUAAGGAAUCUAUACUAAUAGCUUCUCUGCAGAGUAGUUGCUUGCAAAUGAGCAGUUGAGCCUGUAAUGUGUAUCAGAGGUAAUCUGGCACUUAUUACAUGUACAACAAAUGUUAACUUUCUCAAUUCCUUCUGAAUGCUAAAAGAGGGCCUGUGCGUGUUUCAUAUUUACAUCUUUGGAAAAUAAGAUUUUUUUUUGGCAGAAGUUCAAUCAAUGUCACUUGAAUUAAACUGAAUCAAAAUAAUCAGGGUUUGAAAUAAUUGCAGGAAAAAUAAUCUGAAAAAGUGUAAGAAGAACAUACAGAAUAAGGAAGAACACUAGCAAGAAGUAAUAGGUAUUUUAGAACAAAGACCAUUUACAAAAGCAACUUCUAGACUUUUAGGGGGGUUAAUCAGAAGACUAGAAACUAGAUUUUCAUUGAAAACAGGCUUUUCAUUGAAAUGUGAUAUUUAUUUAAUUUUUAGAAGUAUAAAUCUUUAAUAUCAGGAAAGAAUAAAAAUCAAAAAUAGAGUUGCUGGAGCCAAAGGACUGAAAGUUUUUGUUGUAAAUUCAAGUAAUAAACUAGCAUUAAAAUUAAAUGAUGAGGCUAAAAUUUCAACAUUUCAGGAUUGAAUAGUCAUUCACUGGUAUCCUUUAAGAUUUCUGUGUAUGUGUGUGUGCAUGUGUGUGUGUGAAAUAUAAAACAAUAUGCAGGAGAUAAUAAGAAUUUUCACUUUCUUAUGUAUUUUUGCUAAAGAUGGUGAAUCAAUUUAACAUCAGGUUUAAAGCCAACUUCUGACUUUCUGUCUACAGGAUGCUAGCAAUUUGUUUUGUAAUAUAGAGAAUAUAAUAAAAACUGUCUUUAGGGGAAGGAAUUCUAACAGAAUAACUAGGACAGAGCCUGCUGUCUAAAUGACAUUCACAAUUUUUCUGAAAUUGAACUGUUCAUUUGCAGUCUUAGAUGUGCUGUUUUGACUCACAGAAUAGAAAAAACUCUGUGACAAUCCCCAGCUCUAUAAUAUAUUUGAAUUGAAUAGAGGUACCGAUUGGAGAAAAAUACAUUCCCUAUAUUUUGCCUUUGUUAUAGUAACACUCAACUGCAUAGAAAAAAAAAAAAGAAGCUGAUCAAUUUGGUUAACAAAGAUUUUAUACACAUUUUUUGGCUUGAACAAAGUUGAAAAUUUGUAGGUCCACAGACAAGAAAUAAUGUGGAAGCAAUGCCACUUUUUUAAAGUAAAUAUGUGAAAUUAAUAAUGCAUUUUGGUAUGAGGAGAAGGUCUCUAUCCCCCAAAUCCUGUUUAAUAAUAAUUUUUAUUUUAAAGAAUAAAAUGUGUAAAAUUACCUCAAUGUGAACAGUGUUUGGGACCUAAGGGAAAUUUGUCUUUGCUAGUGGCACCAUGACGUUGAUGUAACUUUCACGAGAUUAUGACCGUAGGUGCCAGUUUCUGUUAGAACUGCCAUACGCAUAUACUUGCAGUGGCUAGAUGUGCAUAUGGUUCAGAUAUCCAUAUCCUUGUGGAGAAAAAGACUGUUUAUUCAUUCACAGAUUUUCUUGGCGCUUCUGACUUUUUAGCGCACUCAAGGGCAAGGUUAAGAGGCGGAGUAACUGAGGGCGGAGAUGGGGGAGAGACACGUCAUCACAUCAGCUAGAGCGCAGCUCACUUGGACUUCACAGCCGGGUGGCUCUAGAUGGUUUCUCCGCGUAAGACCUUCUCGGUACCUGCAACUGGUAAUUUACCUGGUAUCGACGGUACUCCUUUAACACAUGCUUCCUCUUCUCUGAUUUCUCCCUUGUAACGUCCUUAGGAUCUGAAGCCAUAUUUGGAGUGAAGUUAGUCUGGUGGCUCAUACUUUUAGGAAAUAUAUGUGAACAAGAACUCAUUACUGAACCUGUGGCAGAGAAGAGGACAUGGAAGUAGGACUAUAAAGUAGGAUCGCAGUCUCUUUCCCGAUCAGAAGGGGAAAAAAAUGAAAGACUUCUUUUCUGAUAAAUACAAUUGUAAGAAAUGUAUAUUUUUUUCUCAUAAAUCUCUCUCAUGAUUUACAUAUGGUAUCUUUAUAGCAUUACUUAGAAUAUACACAUGGCCAUACUCCAAAUUAAGUAACUGUUUAUGGGAAUAAAAUUGAAAAUCAUAGGCUAAACAAGACUUCUAAUACAUUGAAAAUAAUAAAUAUGAUUUCAACUGCUAGUGUCACAAAAUUGUUAUUGCCUCUUUUCCAUAAGAAAUAAAGAUGUGUGAUUUGUUAUAUGGAAUGAGCUACAGAUACAGAGAAGUUUGCUACCAUGCACAUUUAAAUUCAGUCAUGU
rnacentral:lncRNA from 1 species